CAUCGAUGAAGAACGCAGCGAAAUGCGAUAAGUAAUGUGAAUUGCAGAAUUCAGUGAAUCAUCGAAUCUUUGAACGCACCUUGCGCUCCUUGGUAUUCCGAGGAGCAUGCCUGUUUGAGUGUCAUUAAAUUCUCAAUCCUUUCUGGGUUUAUUCUCAGCUAGGCUUGGAUAUGGGGGUUUUGCUGGCUUUGUACAGACAAAGUCAGCUCUCCUGAAAAACAUUAGCAAGACUGUUGUUGCAACCUUCUAUCUGGUGUGAUAAUUAUCUACAUCAUAGAUUGUAUGCAGUUUAUUAUGUCUGGCUUCUAACAGUCCAUUGAAUUGGACAAAACCUAUGACAAUUUGACCUCAAAUCAGGUAGGACUACCCGC
rnacentral:rRNA from 1 species